rnacentral:rRNA from 1 species
GAUUCCUGUCCGGAUUCCUGACUGCUACUCGGAUUGGUACUAAGCCAUGUGAGUCGUUGCAGCAAUGCAAGGCAGACGGCUCAGUAACACGUAGUCAACCUAACCUAUGGACGGGGAUAACCUCGGGAAACUGAGAAUAAUACCCGAUAGAUCAUGAUACCUGGAACGGUUUAUGGUCCAAAUGAUUUAUCGCCAUAGGAUGGGACUGCGGUCUAUCAGCUUGUUGGUGAGGUAAUGGCCCACCAAGGCUAUAACAGAUACGGGCUCUGAGAGGAGGGGCCCGGAGAUGGGUACUGAGACACGGACCCAGGUCCUAUGGGGCGCAGCAGGCGAGAAACCUUUGCAAUGUGCGAAAGCACGACAAGGUUAAUCCGAGUGAUUCCUGCUAAAGGAAUCUUUUGUUAGUCAUAAAACCACUGAUGAAUAAGGGGUGGGCAAGUUCUGGUGUCAGCCGCCGCGGUAAUACCAGCACCUCGAGUGGUCAGGAGGUUUAUUGGGCCUAAAGCAUCCGUAGCCGGCUGUUCAAGUUUCCGGUUAAAUCCACACGCUUAACGUAUGGGCUGCCGGAAAUACUGUUCAGCUAGGGAGUGGGAGAGGUAGACGGUACUCGAUAGGUAGGGGUAAAAUCCUUUGAUCUAUUGAUGACCACCUGUGGCGAAGGCGGUCUACCAGAACACGUUCGACGGUGAGGGAUGAAAGCUGGGGGAGCAAACCGGAUUAGAUACCCGGGUAGUCCCAGCUGUAAACGAUGCAGACUCGGUGAUGCAUUGGCUUGUGGCCAGUGCAGUGCCGCAGGGAAGCCGUUAAGUUUGCCGCCUGGGAAGUACGUACGCAAGUAUGAAACUUAAAGGAAUUGGCGGGGGAGCACCACAAGGGGUGAAGCCUGCGGUUC